AUUCAGCUGAGAUUACUGUCCUCUCCCAUCUGUCAAGAUGAAGUUGAGACAGUUGGAUUCAAUCAGUCUCUUCUUACAAGGACUCACAAUCAUUUUCUAAGGCAUAAGAUUUUGAGAUAGUAAUCUGCUGCAUUACCCAGAUUUUAGACAGAGGAUUUUUGAAGAGGCCCCGGGAGUUUCUUCAAUCCCAAUGGAAGAGGAAAGAAGCAAAUGGCAGCUAUAGCUGAAGCCUGGAAUCUUGGGUCUAAAAUACAGAAGACAAUAAGUAGAUCGAGUCCAGUUCUUCAUCCGAGUCCUCAAAGCAGCAGCGCAAGAACCGGGGUAGUGGCAAACCUAGUGAAACCACCAGACAGUGGCCCUCUGGACCUCUUCACAGACUCACUUGGUAAAGGAUAACCAACUCUUGGCAAUUGCCCUGGAGCCCAGAGUUUGCCUUUGCAGGCUCAUGCGUGCACAUCACACCACCCGUCUCUUCCCCUGACUGCCAAUUCCAUCCCAAUGAGCUGGCAGGGUGCUUGAAUUCACAUCAAUUCUGUUCCGUGAUAUUUUCAUCAAAUUGCCAAGCCUUAAUUGCAUAAGUGGGCUACAUGGUUGUUUUUUUGCUUUUUUUUUUUUUUUUUUUUUUUUUUUGCAUGCACACCGAUGUAAAUAGAACUAGCUACAUUAUAUGCUGUCUCUAGGAUGUUUUAUGUUUUAAUGCUCUCCUUUUUUUUUAUUUUUAUUUUUUCCUUUUAAAGACCACUUUAUCUUCUUCAUGUGUUGCUUCCAGGUUUCUUCCUCAUAUUUCCACUAGAGUGUGUUUCUACCCUUAACUCUACAUUUCAAAGAAAGUUGAUUUUAUCACUUUACCAGGGAAUUCAGAAGAUUCCCUGAAAUUCUGCAGAAGGCUAAGUCCUUUAUUGUCUGGUUUCACUGGUACUUGCUGGAUUGUGUGAUACAACCGAACGCUGUUACAGAGAGGGCCUGAUUCACUGUCCACAGCUGUAUAUGGGAUCAUGAUCUGACUUCUCCACUGAGUGUACAAGCUUGAAAUCAAUUUCCAGAGUGAUACUGACAGCAGUUUCAGUACUACUUCAAUGCAAAGGGCUUAGGAUGGAGAGAAGAAAGGAGAAUAGAACUAACCACUAAAUAGGAGAGACUUGGUAUCCAUGCUGAGGAGAAAUGCAUUGGCAUUAGCGCAUAUGUUCUGUUUUUUGUUUUGUUUUGUUUUUGUUGGGUUUUUGUGUGUGUGUGUGGUUGGACAUUUAGUUCUAACACUGAUGUCACAAAUUGUGUUGCAAUGAUUUUAUUUUUUUUUCUGGCAGAACAUUUCUAAAGAAGCAAGGGGAGUAAUCAAAUUGUAGUUACAGUUGAGAUGAAGGGACUAGACUUACAGACUCUGGUAUUGAUGUUGAAAAUUAAGUAAAAAAUGUUUUCAAUGUACAUAACAAGCAGUUAAUAGAUUCUCAGUGUAAAGUUAUGAAGUAGAAUUAUUUCUAGCCAUCUUUGGUCACUGGUAACUCUUCCCACACUACGUAAUACUAUAAAGUAGAAGUGAGGGAUUUGCCAGAAUGCUGGUCUAAUAGCGUACUCAAGAAACGGUAGCCUACAUAAAGCUGAAACACAAAACCUGUUUAUUCAAAGGUUUUCUAAUUCCAUUGCCCUAAAAAUAUGAAGAAUAUAUGUCUUUGAAUAAUGAGGCCAAUUUUUCCUGAAAGAAUAUGUGUACCUAAAAAACUUUCUAUUUUGCAUCAGAAACAACUGGUCAUAUUUUGAAUCUGGACUUCUGAAUAGCUAAUGUUCUAGAUACACUCCAUUUAAUUAGUUGGCUAUGGCUGAAGAAGCUUCUGCUGCCCUGUUAAUUCCUAUUGCCCAUAUUGUAAAUGAAUGAAGUUAUAUCACCCAAAUAAAAUAUUUUCUACUUGCUUUCA
ensembl:lncRNA